UGGGGAAUUUUGGACAAUGGGCGAAAGCCUGAUCCAGCAAUGCCGCGUGUGUGAAGAAGGCCUUCGGGUUGUAAAGCACUUUUGUCCGGAAAGAAAUCCUUGGCUCUAAUACAGUCGGGGGAUGACGGUACCGGAAGAAUAAGCACCGGCUAACUACGUGCCAGCAGCCGCGGUAAUACGUAGGGUGCAAGCGUUAAUCGGAAUUACUGGGCGUAAAGCGUGCGCAGGCGGUUUGCUAAGACCGAUGUGAAAUCCCCGGGCUCAACCUGGGAACUGCAUUGGUGACUGGCAGGCUAGAGUAUGGCAGAGGGGGGUAGAAUUCCACGUGUAGCAGUGAAAUGCGUAGAGAUGUGGAGGAAUACCGAUGGCGAAGGCAGCCCCCUGGGCCAAUACUGACGCUCAUGCACGAAAGCGUGGGGGAGCAAACAGGAUUAGAUACCCUGGUAGUCCACGCCCUAAACGAUGUCAACUAGUUGUUGGGGAUUCAUUUCCUAGUAACGUAGCUAACGCGUGAAGUUGACCGCUGGGGAGUACGGUCGCAAGAUUAAAACUCAAUGAAUUGACGGGGUCAUAGCUGUUUCCU
rnacentral:rRNA from 1 species